rnacentral:ribozyme from 1 species
CCCGACUGUUGCUGCUACCUUGAAGUGGUGGUCAAGCUUGCUUACUGUGAUGAGCCAAUCGAGUUACAGUCGUUCCUCAAGGUUCUAUCAUCCCAAGCAGAUUGGUUGAAGAACAGUAAGACUAAAAGCAGC